GACGAACGCUGGCGGCGUGCUUAACACAUGCAAGUCGAACGGAAAGGCCCUGCUUUUGUGGGGUGCUCGAGUGGCGAACGGGUGAGUAACACGUGAGUAACCUGCCCUUGACUUUGGGAUAACUUCAGGAAACUGGGGCUAAUACCGGAUAGGAGCUCCUGCUGCAUGGUGGGGGUUGGAAAGUUUCGGCGGUUGGGGAUGGACUCGCGGCUUAUCAGCUUGUUGGUGGGGUAGUGGCUUGCCAAGGCUUUGACGGAUAGCCGGCCUGAGAGGGUGACCGGCGACAUGGGUACUGAGAUACGGACCAGACGCGUACGGGAGGCAGCAGUGGGGAAUAUGGCAGAAUGGGCGGAAGCCUGAGGCAGCAACGCCGCGUGCGGGAUGACGGCCUUCGGGUUGUAAACCGCUUUCGCCGGUGACGAAGCGUGAGUGACGGUAAUGGGUAAAGAAGCACCGGCUAACUACGUG
rnacentral:rRNA from 1 species